GGGGGUUUAGCUCAGUGGCAUAAGCGCCUGCCUUGAAAGCAGGCAGUUAUGAGUUUGAUCCCCG
rnacentral:tRNA from 1 species